rnacentral:rRNA from 1 species
CCGCAUGGAAGGGCCAUCGCUCAACGGAUAAAAGCUACCCCGGGGAUAACAGGCUUAUCUCCCCCAAGAGUUCACAUCGACGGGGAGGUUUGGCACCUCGAUGUCGGCUCAUCGCAUCCUGGGGCUGUAGUCGGUCCCAAGGGUUGGGCUGUUCGCCCAUUAAAGCGGUACGCGAGCUGGGUUCAGAACGUCGUGAGACAGUUCGGUCCCUAUCCGUCGUGGGCGUAGGAAAUUUGAGAGGAGCUGUCCUUAGUACGAGAGGACCGGGAUGGACAUACCUCUGGUGUACCAGUUGUCGUGCCAACGGCAUAGCUGGGUAGCUAUGUGUGGACGGGAUAAGUGCUGAAAGCAUCUAAGCAUGAAGCCCCCCUCAAGAUGAGAUUUCCCAACUUCGGUUAUAAGAUCCCUCAAAGAUGAUGAGGUUAAUAGGUUCGAGGUGGAAGCAUGGUGACAUGUGGAGCUGACGAAUACUAA